GACAAUAGGCAAAGGACAAGUGUUAUUUAUCAUUUUUGGGUGUAAAGUGCCAGUAAGUGGAUCUUCAUCAAGUUUAUUUUUAGAAAAGUAUAAUUAAAUAUGAGGACUUAGAAUCUUAAAUAGGAUCUUUUAAACAGAGAAAAUAAAGGUUAAAUUUAUUAAAUUUCUUAGGAAAACUAAAGACGAAAGUAUAGAUCUAUCUAUGAAUUGACACUGAGAGGCUAAAGGAUAGGGAGUAAACGAG
rnacentral:rRNA from 1 species